rnacentral:lncRNA from 1 species
GCAUGGGUGGGUCUAUGCGGUUUUGAUAGGCAGAAUUCUAAGAUGGCUGCCAAGAUUCGCGCCUUCCAAUAGAUAUAUCAUGAUAGUCUCCCUCCCCUUGAGUGUGGGAGUGGGUUUUGUAAUAUGAUGGUGUAUUAGUCUGUUCUCAUGCUGUUAAUAAAGACAUACCCAAGACUGGGUAAUUUAUAAAGGAAAAAGGUUGAAUUGACUCACAAUUCCACAUGGCUGGGGAGGACUCACAAUCAUGGUGGAAGGCAAGGAGGAAUAAAGUCACAUCUUACAUGGUGGCAGGCAAGAGUGAGUGUGUGCAGGGGAACUCCCCUUUAUAAAACUAUCAGAUCUCAUGAGACUUAUUCACUAUCAUGAGAACAGCACAGGAAAGAUCCACUCCAUGAUUCAGUUACCUUCCACCGGGUCCCUCCCACAACACAUGGGAAAUAUGGGAGCUACAAUUCAAGAUAUUAUUGUGUGCGGACACGGCCAAAUCAUAUUAGAUGAAAUAGGUGGUCCCAUGACUAGGUUGUGUUCUGUGGCACAAUUGCCUUUAAGAAAAAGAGAUUAUCUUUGAUGGGCCUGGCCUAAUCAGGUGAGGCCUUAAAAGGAACUUGUCUCUUCCUG